UGAAACUUCUAGGUGUUCUUCCUACUAUUUGUAUGAAAUUUUUGAAGCCCACACUGAUGAAAGUUUAUGAACCUUGGCAAAACAUUUGCUGAACCAGUCUGAGUUUCACGUUUACUUGGAACUGAAACCAGGACCACCAGCCAGCACAUCAACCUCCAUUCCCCUUUCUCCAUUUAUAUGACCAUCAUCUGUAAGAAGCCUUGAAAGAAUAACUCAGCCCGUGGGGAAGAUUGCAAAUACAAGCCAAGAGAGUACUCCCCAAGAUAAUCUUCCCUACAUCUCUGAGAAGGGGAGUAAAAGGACAGAUACUGCAGUUCCUAGAACAGCCAUCUCUCCAUCUCAUCUGCUCAGUGGAGAAAAACAAGCUCAUCAUAUUGUACAUAUCUCUGGUGGGAAGAUCUGGAAGUGAGAAUGAUGACAUGGAAAGAAACUUUGCUGGAUAACCAUUUUCCCAAUGCAACUUUAUUUCCUGCUUAUCCAGGGCCACAUUACCAAAAAUAUACAGUGUGAAGUGGAUCAUAUAAAAACAUUAUAAAAUAAAACAAGGCUCAUCUGAAAUAUCCAGGGGAAAAAUUAACGCUAAUAUUGUAUUAUAUGUUUUAGGCUUAAUAAUGGCCCCCAAAGUAACCAG
ensembl:lncRNA